rnacentral:lncRNA from 1 species
CUGUGAAGUGGUGCAAUGGGAAUUACAGUGAAUUCUUUACCUAUUCGAAAGGUAGUGGGUUUCGAAACCCUCACUCAGCAUUUUUUUUCCGUCUUCUUCUCUUUUUUCUAUUUUUUUUUUUGGUUCUUUUUUUGUUCCUUUUUUUUCGCCUUUUGCUUUUUGUUUCUUUUUCGUUCUUCUUUUCUUCAGUUUUUUUUUUUUUUGUCUUUUUUCUUUGUUUCAAAUUUUUUGUUCUUUUUUGUUUUGGGUUUUUUUUUCUUUUUUGUUAGCUCCUUUAUUUUCUUUUAUUUUUCUGUUUAUUUUUUUAUUUUCAACACUUUUUUUUAACUUUUUUCUAGUUUUUUCAUUUAUUUCUUUUUUUUAAUAUUACAUUUAUUCACAUUAAUAGUUAUUUUUUCAUACAACUAUAAUUACUUAACCAAAUAAUUAAAAUUAUAAGUUUUCGUGAGUAAAAUAAUAAUUUUCGUGAAAAAAAGUAAUAAUUUUGAAACAUUACAUUUCUUCAUAUGAAUAAUCACUUUUUA